rnacentral:lncRNA from 1 species
GCUGGAGAGGGGGAUAGCUACUCUUUGAUUUCUUCUGGAAGCCUAAACCCCCGCAGAGCUGGAGGAUGUGCGUCUUAUCAUUCGACUGGCUAAGCUUUUUAACAGUUUGGGAUCUAGCGGAGAAGACAUACUUAAAGAGCCCCCAGUGGGGAGGACAUCCAAUGAAGCACUCGCAGAGGGUGACGCAUGCAGAAAGGUGAGCUAUUGCGUUCGGAGGAAAGUGAUGGAGCUGCGCCCCGAAGUAAUUCAUGAUACCUCGGAAGAAGGGAUUGGGAGGCAAGGAGAAACCUCUAGCCACAUGGCUGAGCAGCAGAACGCGCUCCCCCUCCUUCGGCGCCUGCUCCGUCUCGCCUUCCGGCAGCCUCCAGGAUUUGUUGACGACCAUGCCAUGCUCCACGAGCUCUAGCACGUCGUUCUCCGUCACCGAGGAGGGGAGGAAAUCCCCUUGGAUCCAACCCGCCGGCAGCGCCCGCUGCCGCCGCUGAGUAGGGGCCGCCCCCUUCUUCUUCUUCUGCGACUCGAGCUUGCUGGUCUGCCCCUUCGUCAUGGCGAGGGCGACGGUUCCGCAGAGGAGGAGGGGAAGGAGGUGGAUUGAGGUGUGCAGAGAGCUGCGGGAGGAGCGAGAUUAAUGAGAGAAGGAUGAGCAGCGCAACAGGAAAUCCCGCCGGGGAGGCUUAAAUAGGCUUCCGACUGGGUCACUAACAGGUGGACCCAAGAUCUUAUCCCCCAAACCAGCCGCUGCAAGAUUAGUGGAGAAGAUAACAACGCGGUAAUCGAGGAGGCAAAACCUACUCGAUGGCGAUGUCGUCAUCCCCGCUGAGCGCGCGGCAACCGAAAUUUGAGGAUCCCGGAAAAUCCGGCGCUGUCAGUUUGACCAGUCACGUCGAAGGAUUCCGCGGAAUCACUCGGUCCCUGAUGGUUCGUUUCACUGGUAUAUUCACUCGGAUCACUGGUUGAAAGGAUAAAAUGGACCGAGGCAAACAACGCUAAAGUCACCUCCAUACCGGUCGGUUCCAUACUCCAGACAUCACUUCAUCGUUCCAACCCCGGUCCAUUCGGGGACUAAUGAUGGGGUUAUAGUCCCAGGGUAGGGUUAUAGGUCUGCCCUAUAGGUCCUGCCCAAGGACUACCCUUCAUAGAAGACAAGGCCCUUAGACAGUUCCGACUGAACUAAGGACGCCCCCAUCAUCCAAUCGGCGACGAUCCACUCGGAGCAUAUUUAACGUACCGACUAGAAUCCACUAUGUACAUCGUAACCUCCCAGGAGGGCAACGGUCAUACGUUUUCAUACACCAUUAUUAGCAUUUAAGGCUUACGUUACCUGUAACCUAGGCAUUUAUUCGCCACUAUUCCACCCUUGUCCACCGGGCCAUUAUGAAGGGCAUCGCACUCUAUAUAAGCCACCCUUCCCCACUGGUGCAAGGGUUGGCACUUGCUGUAAUCCUAUAAUCCACUCGACGCUAAGCUCCCAAGAGCACUGAGACGUAGGGCUUUUACCUCCACCGUAGAGGGGCCUGAACUCAUACAUCCUCGCCGUAGCUAAGGCUCUGCCCAUUCUUUCGUACCCCAUACUUCUACUGUCAGACUUAUACCCACGACAGCUAUCGCCAGCGAUCGAAUAUUGAUACUCAUAAAUCUAGCAAAGUCUCAAAACAUGCUUUCAUCCUGUUUUAUAUCUAAAGCAAUGAUCAAUAACAGCCUGAUACAAAUGCACGACAUCACAACACACGCACAUUAACAUACAAAUGCACGACAUCACAAAGCACCAUACAUAGGAGCUGAGCACAGCAACAUCUCCCCUAGCACGAUAAUCUACCAGGGUCCUCAAUCAUGAAACACCAGUACGAAAAGACUCAGGCGCACGCGACGAACCUCAAAGAGGUGCCUCCAGAAAGGUUACAACACCAUAGUGCCGUCACCGCCAGGAUCCAGGGAUCAAUGUUUCCCUAGGAGCAACGCGACAGACAAUUAAAACCAUGAUGACGCCUUCAAGAAGGGAACAAAAUAUUGUCGCCGCCGGUCUGCCCGAAGACAGAAGAAGUUUUCACCCUGGCCACUGCCAUCGUAUGUCACACCCUGGCCACCAGGCUGCCCACAUGACCAUUACCACCAUGCUACUCACAUGGGCCAUGGCCACCAGGCAGCACAUGAGCCACGGGCUCCGUCCAUGGGAGGAUUCUACCUAGACCGAAGAGACCUUAGAAGUAGAUGUAGUGUCAUGUUUGAAGUUACCCUUACCGGUUCGAUUUAAAUAUGAUAUGUACAAGAUACACAGAAGAUGGACGAGAACUUUUGAAACCUGGGUGUAUAUACAACUUAUACGUAAAAAAAUAGCAAUGCAACAAAAAGAAAAAAAAUCUGAAAAUAUGAAAUAAACUUAACAUCCCAUUGCACUCGUGAGAAAAAUUCCACAAAAAGAAAAUUACACUUUGAUUUCUUUUUUGAAAAGACAAAUUCUCAGUUAAAAUAAUGCGAAUAGUGACCUAUAAUACAAAAUAAAUUUUAUCUUUUUUUCCCAGAAGUCAAUGUUGGCUUUUUUUCUUGAAAAUUUAUAUACUGAGGCAAAAUAAAGUCAAGUUUAAUCUAAAAAUACUUUGAAAUUAUUUUGUUUUUUUAAUUGAUUAUUGAAAAACUCUUCAUACAGGAUGCAUAUAUACAACCAGGAAACAAAGUGUAUUUCCGCAUAAAAGAUAUGCUAUACACGUGGGUUGAAAUUAAAGCACAAAAAAUGAAUGUUGAAGCAACACUAUAAAUGUUGGGACACCAACGGGGUGGAUGUUUUUGACUGAUCAAAAUAUUGAAUUGUUUUUUGCAUUUGGAAGAAAAAUAUAUAGGUUUCAGAGGCAUUUGUAUAGCAAUUUAGAUGUUACAGAACUAAGAAGCACCAACAUAAUAGUUGGGAACGUGUGAUAGUCUGGUUUAUUAGGGAUGAUAGACUACUCAUAUCAAUAAGCCCAUUCGAAUAGAACUUUCAGGUUAAGCGUGUUCGGCUUGGAGUAGUUGUAGGAUGGGUGACCGACCGGGAAGUUGAUCCCGGGUGCGCAUGAGUGAGUACAAAGUGCGCAGAAAAGACUAGUAUUGAUAUGUGGGGCCAGUCUAGAUCCCGCAAGGAGUAACGAUCGUUGGUGGGUGUGUCCGAAGCGUUACAAGUUGGUAUCAGAGCCGACCCUCGCGGUUACAUGCAUGUUUGCGGACAGCUGUGCGGUCAUGUUGUUCAUGACAUUUGUGACACGUCGUGGCACAUGGCAUGACACAUGUACUGGACUGAAUGCACAGACGUUUGUGCCAAGAGGGAACGCUCAUAUGGCCCGACGAGGACGUUAGUUCCUCUAAGUGGUGGUGUAUGUGAUAGUCUGGCUUAUUAGGGAUGAUAGACUACCUAUAUCAAUAAGGAAUUCUUCUUUUCCGGGAGCCCAUUCGAACACAACUUCCGGGUUAAGCGUGCUUGGCUUGGAGUAAUUCCCGGAUGGGGUGACCGGCCGGAAAGUUGAUCCCGGGUGCGUAUGAGUGAGGACAAAGCAUGCAUAAAAGACUAUUAUUGAUAUGUGGGGUCAGUCUAGAUCCCGCCAGGAGUAACGACCGUCGUCAGGUGUGUCCGGAGUGUUACAUAACGGAUCUAAAUUUGGAGAUCCCGUCAGGAGUAAUGACCGCCGACGGGUGUGUCCGAGGUGUUACAUAACGGAUCUAAAUUUGGAUGAAAGCAUGGAAAUUUGAAAUCAGAUUGAAAACUCAUAUUGUUGGGCAAGAUUGGGAAUCAUAGUAAUCUUAUCUAUGAACAAAUGUAUAUUCUAUAAUAUGUCUAUAUGCAUUCGUAUGUAGUUUGUAGUAAAACCUUUAAAAAGACUUAUUGUAAGAAACGGAUAGAUCGAGUGAUAGAGAUACGCUCAAUGAAAUUAAACAAACCAAGCAUUGCAUGUGCGGGUCGGUGCACUGGCUGCCUGGAGCACUUGUAGACAUUGCAGAGAUUUGGGGUGGAUCAGGUGGUGGCGGAGAUAGUGCAUCAUAGCAAGGGAGGUCGGCGAGCUCGGGGUUGUUCUGGCCCAGCCAUAAUAGUGGUAUGUUAGCUAGUAUCAUUCACUUGGAAAAAGCAAACACGUUGAUGUAACAGAGAAUUAAAAAAGAAAGAGAGGAUCAGAAUAACAUAGAUAGAUAUGUGUUUAGGAAGGCCGAACCUUCGGUAUUCCACCUCUCGUAUCAUACUGAUGUGCUGAAUGUUGGAGAGAUUUGUAUAUAGGGGCAUGAUUCUAAUCUAGUGAUGUUCACUCUUGCUUUCACAAAAUGCAUGUCUGCCCGCUACUGGCGGACCAAGGUAGAAAAUGUUGUGUGUGUGUGUNNNNNNNNNNNNNNNNNNNNNNNNNNNNNNNNGUAAAACAUGUGUAUUUGGGGGUGCAUAAUGCUAAAAAGAUAUUUUGGGAACAUUUGUCGCAUUCUCUUCGAACGAAACGCAUUGUUUCUAUUCACCCUGUUCAUAUCUACUUCUUAAAAGGAAAGAGAUCGAUGACUAAAAACAUGCAUGUUAAAUGGUCACAUGCAUGAUUCUCUAGUGUAGUGGACUGGUACAAUACAAAUCACGUGAUAAAUGUUUCCUAGAUGCAUGACUUGCUCACACCUAUCACAUGAUUCUGUAGUGCACUUCGUUUUCAUAACAAGAGAUGUAUGGUAGUCUUAUAUAUACCUUCUGGGGCUUCUUCCUUGGGAUACAAAAUUAGGUGGGUAGGAUAUGCAUACUAUAAUCUGUUUAUAUCUUUAUCCAGCUUCAAAUCAUGUGAAAUAUUGGAGGAAAACAAAAAUGACAAGGUAAUGUUUACUUACUGUAAAUCUGUAUUGACUCUUGAUACUCAAGAUAGAUCAAGUGUUGUCGGUGGUUCGAGCUACUGUCCUCUUAGAUACUAACGUCGAAAAGCUUUUCUUAAUUCCAGACCCCAACGCUGAUGGUUGUGUGUCGCCAAUCUGGAGAGCGGAUAAUUCACAAGUUAAUGGCUACCCUUUCCCAUUGCCUACUUACAGUUUUAUGGUUUGUCAUCAUACCAAAUGCUUGCACAACAUUUUGCAAGACUGGCAACUCUGCUACGUUAUGUAGUAAUUAACCUAGUUGUAGUCUAUAGUAAUAUUAGGUAGCUAGAUCAAAGUGUCCUAGACAACGCUACGUGCGUGUCCGAGUUUAAGUCUAAACCAGUGUCUUGUACGAGUUGCAAACGAGCCUGUGUCGCGUCGUAUUGGUUGUCGACUCGGCAACACGUUGGACGCGACGAUGUUGUAUCUCUUUAUAUACCAAACCAAAAUAUGAAAACGGUGCAAGCUAUACGCACCAUCAAAUAACAGUUUCACUUUGUUUGUUUGUUUUGUUAGGCAAAGGUUCCGUCGAGUCGAUCGACUCGUUCGUAGUCAGCCGAAGCAAGGACGUAUCACCGCAAGCUAGCUAUAGGAUCCAUCUAGCUGCCUCGUUGCACGUAUGUGAAGCUUCGGGAGGAUUUUGAGGGUCCAAAAGCCAACAAUUAUCUAGAGCCUUGACGAUCUACGAUCUACGAUGACGGACAGCGACGCUGAGUCGAUCAAGUCCGGCAAAGGCAGUUCCAAGGCGAACAAAAACGGUGGCAAGGUGAAGAAGGACGGCAAGUCAGCAACCAGUGGUGGGGGAACGAGCGGCACCAACGUCCAGGCGCAUCGCAACAUCCCCAUCCAGUAUCCGAUGCUCACCGACACCAACUACGGUGUGUGGGCGGUGAAGAUGAAGAUUAUUCUCCGAUCUCUUCGAGUGUGGGAGGCCGUCACGGACGACGGCGUCGACGAGCAGCACGACGAAGCUUCCAUGGCCGCCAUAGC